UCACUUAAGGCGAGUUUGCCGCGAAUCAUGUCUCAAGUCUCUGGGAACUUCUGCGCAUUUGUGAAAACGACCGGGACCGGCUCCGCCGGCGAGGAGCGCGCCUGUGUCCUGCAGGAGGCGUGUUCCGGGACGGAGGGGCACGAACACGUAACGGCGGGGGCGGGGAGGGGUAACUGGCGGGAAGACGCGGAGGGAGGGCGCAUCUGGGGCGUGUGCGCCCCAAUCCGAAGGCACCCGUGGUCUGGGUGCCCAGCGCGCAGAGCCUGGGCCGGGCCCGGGGUGCGGGAGAGAGCGCGAGUGUGAUUCAGGAAGUUGAGUCUCUGACAUCAGGGGCAGGACGGAGUUGGAGUGAAACCUCAAAAAUGCGAGGCGGCGGCCAGCGGGAGGGCAGGGAACACAGAGGGCGCCACUCUCCCGACGGGCGGCAGGUAGGCGCGGCGCGGGGCGGCCCCCGCUGACCCCGCCACCCCAGAGUCGGCUCCGCGUGGGCCGGCGUGGCCUUCGGGAAGGAAACGCGGACCUCGCCUCCAGUCCUGAUCGCUGUCAGACGGGAGCCCCGGGGAUCCCUGGGCGACCCGCCUGCAGGAAGCUCGCCGGUGGACUGAAAGAUUUUUCCCCAUUUUGGAGAUGAAGAAACUGAGGACCAAAACAACCGAAUGACCUUCCCAAGGACGCACACUUAGUAAGUCACAGGUGCCAUCAGUGGCGUGCCCAAACCCUAAUCUGGAAGAGGAAUAAAUUGCAAGUGGGCAAGGCUGCAUCCUUUUGAGUCCAGAACUUGCUAGUGAGCUGAAAGGUUCCUCUGGCCCCAAUCUAGCCAAGCAAC